CCUACGGGAGGCAGCAGUGAGGAAUAUUGGUCAAUGGGCGCGAGCCUGAUCCAGCCAAGCAGCGUGAAGGAUGACUGCCCUACGGGUUUUAAACUUCUUUUAUAAAGGAAUAAAGUGAGGCACGUGUGCCAUUUUGUAUGGAUUUUAUGAAUAAGGAUCGGCUAACUCCGUGCCAGCAGCCGCGGUAAUACGGAGGAUCCGAGCGUUAUCCGGAUUUAUUGGGUUUAAAGGGAGCGUAGAUGGGUUGUUAAGUCAGUUGUGAAAGUUUGCGGCUCAACCGUAAAAUUGCAAUUGAUACUGGCAGCCUUGAGUACAGUUGAGGUAGGCGGAAUUAGUGGUGUAGCGGUGAAAUGCUUAGAGAUCACGAAGAACUCCGAUUGCGAAGGCAGCCUACUAGACUGCCACUGACAUUGAUGCUCGAAAGUGUGGGUAUCAAACAGGAUUAGAUACCCUUGUAGUC
rnacentral:rRNA from 1 species